CCAGGGUCAUUUAAAUAGUUCCAGAAGUGUCCCAAGUUGCGGCCCGGUCCAAAAGAAUCAGAUCAGAGCAGAAACAGGUCCCGAUCCAGGUUAGUUCACGCUCAAGUGUCGAAUAGGGCUCACCCAAGCGUGAAUCAAGGCUCAUGUUGCGCUUGGGCGCCAGUUUUCCUCGCCCAGGCUUCGAGCGUCUGUCGCCCGGGCGCUGGAUCCGUCACCCGAGCGACGAGUGGUGAUUUGUAUUCACAAUUUUUCCAUUAUGCUCACCUGGUGCUCGCUUGGG
rnacentral:lncRNA from 1 species